rnacentral:sRNA from 1 species
GUUUCAAUUCCUCAUAGGCAGGCUAUCGGCCUCAUUUUCUUUUCUCCUUCUGGAAGGCGGUUGGCG